UCCCUUGUACUUCAGCUGGUAAAGAAUCUGCCUGCAAUGCAGAAGACCUAGGUUCGAUCCCUAGGUUGGGAA
rnacentral:tRNA from 1 species